UGGCUUCCCAUGGUGGGUCUUUAAAUGAAGGCCUGAAGAGGGGGAGGUGCUGUGAGGAGAGUCCCAGGCCUAGAACCGCCGAGGCUGUAAGCAGAGACAGCAACAGCUCUCAGUGCAUGAAGUAAAGGUGUUUCCGGUGCACAUCGGAUAAGUCCCCUCCCCACCCGAGGUGGGUCCGCUCCAGCUUCCAUUGGGCACAGACCCUGAUCGCAGCAGCUCCAUGAGAACCGGGAUCAUUAUCAUCCCUGUUUUGAAGUCAAGGCCAGGAGACCAGAGAGGUUGAUUCAUCUGCCCACAAGCAUGCGGUGGCUCAAUGGCGUAGCCAACAUGGGACGGAGGCAGCCAGAUUUCAGCAUCUGUGUCUCUGCUGAGGUCAGAAACGAGCAAGGUGGUGGGGCUGCUGGCCCCGUCUUAGGACCUAACCCAGUCUUCCUUGAUGUGACGGGCAGGCACAAAGAGGAAAAGCGAUACCCCGGGUGUUCUGGACUUUUCCCGUCAGGGCCACCUCUCCAGACUCCUGAUGCAGUGUGCCACUGAGGCACUCUCUCUCGGACCCCACGCCUCCAGCCUCCCCCGCCUCGCCAGCAUCUGCCCAAAACGUGCUCGCCCACAUCGACGAGUUAGAAAGACAUUCGCAUUGCUCA